GACAGAGGGUGCAAACGUUGUUCGGAAUUACUGGGCGUAAAGCGCGUGUAGGCGGCUAUGUAAGUCGGGCGUGAAAUCCCACGGCUCAACCGUGGAAGUGCACCCGAAACUGCGUAGCUAGAGUCCUGGAGAGGAAGGUGGAAUGCUUGGUGUAGAGGUGAAAUUCGUAGAUAUCAAGCGGAACACCGGUGGCGAAGGCGGCCUUCUGGACAGUGACUGACGCUGAGACGGCGAAAAGCGUGGGGAGCAAACAGGG
rnacentral:rRNA from 1 species